UGUUGUGCAAUUGGUAGAUCAAAAGUGUCAGUAAAGUGUUCCAUUCUGACAAUUACAUGGUGAAAUGCAUUUUGUGAAUUCUACUGCCAGUGAUAGUUUGUGGUAUACCUGCAGCUGCCGAUUAAAUUAAUUAUUUACAAAUUUCAAUUCAGUUGUUACGUUUUGCUACGCUGUGGUUUGUAUGUAUUUCAUUACAUUUCAUGAUAAUGCUUAUUCGAAAUUCUUAUUGACCAGUGUUCACACAAUAUUCACUCUUCCGAUAUGUGUUCAUUAUUUCUAUUUCUAACAGUAAUUUUAAAAAUUUCACUUUU